ACGCUGGCGGCGUGACUAAUACAUGCAAGUCGAGCGAACAGAUGAGAAGCUUGCUUCUCUGAUGUUAGCGGCGGACGGGUGAGUAACACGUGGGUAACCUACCUAUAAGACUGGGAUAACUCCGGGAAACCGGGGCUAAUACCGGAUAAUAUUUUGAACCGCAUGGUUCAAUAGUGAAAGACGGUUUCGGCUGUCACUUAUAGAUGGACCCGCGCCGUAUUAGCUAGUUGGUAAGGUAACGGCUUACCAAGGCGACGAUACGUAGCCGACCUGAGAGGGUGAUCGGCCACACUGGAACUGAGACACGGUCCAGACUCCUACGGGAGGCAGCAGUAGGGAAUCUUCCGCAAUGGGCGAAAGCCUGACGGAGCAACGCCGCGUGAGUGAUGAAGGUCUUCGGAUCGUAAAACUCUGUUGUUAGGGAAGAACAAAUUUGUUAGUAACUGAACAAGUCUUGACGGUACCUAACCAGAAAGCCACGGCUAACUACGUGCCAGCAGCCGCGGUAAUACGUAGGUGGCAAGCGUUAUCCGGAAUUAUUGGGCGUAAAGCGCGCGUAGGCGGUUUCUUAAGUCUGAUGUGAAAGCCCACGGCUCAACCGUGGAGGGUCAUUGGAAACUGGGAAACUUGAGUGCAGAAGAGGAGAGUGGAAUUCCAUGUGUAGCGGUGAAAUGCGCAGAGAUAUGGAGGAACACCAGUGGCGAAGGCGGCUCUCUGGUCUGUAACUGACGCUGAUGUGCGAAAGCGUGGGGAUCAAACAGGAUUAGAUACCCUGGUAGUCCACGCCGUAAACGAUGAGUGCUAAGUGUUAGGGGGUUUCCGCCCCUUAGUGCUGCAGCUAACGCAUUAAGCACUCCGCCUGGGGAGUACGACCGCAAGGUUGAAACUCAAAGGAACUGACGGGGACCCGCACAAGCGGUGGAGCAUGUGGUUUAAUUCGAAGCAACGCGAAGAACCUUACCAAAUCUUGACAUCCUUUGACCGCUCUAGAGAUAGAGUCUUCCCCUUCGGGGGACAAAGUGACAGGUGGUGCAUGGUUGUCGUCAGCUCGUGUCGUGAGAUGUUGGGUUAAGUCCCGCAACGAGCGCAACCCUUAAGCUUAGUUGCCAUCAUUAAGUUGGGCACUCUAGGUUGACUGCCGGUGACAAACCGGAGGAAGGUGGGGAUGACGUCAAAUCAUCAUGCCCCUUAUGAUUUGGGCUACACACGUGCUACAAUGGAUAAUACAAAGGGCAGCGAAUCCGCGAGGCCAAGCAAAUCCCAUAAAAUUAUUCUCAGUUCGGAUUGUAGUCUGCAACUCGACUACAUGAAGCUGGAAUCGCUAGUAAUCGUAGAUCAGCAUGCUACGGUGAAUACGUUCCCGGGUCUUGUACACACCGCCCGUCACACCACGAGAGUUUGUAACACCCGAAGCCGGUGGAGUAACCUUUUAGGAGCUAGCCGUCGAAGGUGGG
rnacentral:rRNA from 1 species